ACUUAGAAUUCCAUAAAAGCUUAAUGUACUUACGGUAGCAGUAAAGAAAAUGCCCCCAAAGGGAGUCGCACAAUUAGGAGGUGUGGCCUUCUUGGAGUAGGUUUGAUCUUGUUGGAGGAAGUGUGUUGCUAUGGAGGUGGGCUUUGAGAUCUCAUUUAUGCUCAGGUCACACCCACUGAGAAAGAUCACUAGUCAAGAUGUAAGAACUCUCAGCUCUUUCUCUAACACCAUGCCUGCCUGCAUGCUGCCAUGCUUCCUACCAUGAUGAUAAUGGACUAAACUUCUGAACUGAGCAAGAGAAUGGAGAAGUACCACAGAUAUACACCAGAUGAUGCCAGGAUGUUGGGUUUUUAAUCACUGAUGUGGAGCAUCAAG
rnacentral:lncRNA from 1 species